ensembl:lncRNA
AUAUAUAUAUGUCGCCAACCGUGUUCAACGUUUCCGAAUCUACAAAUACGAACUGUGCAAAUUAAAUUAACAUGAAGACAUUCAAUCCCAACAAUAGAACUGAGUUAAUCAAUUAGAUCAAUACAUUAUUAUCAUCAGUUUUGAAUUUAUUUGUAUUAUUUAUUUUAUGUCCACCUGCUGGUGGCUUUCCUUAUUAUUGGUACCAUGUAUUACAGAAACAUGUGUCAACACAUGUCUCACUCCUGCAGCGUUAAAUCAUAAUUGAUGAUAAGGUGAUAUGCGCAGUGGCAGGUUAUUGAUCAACUUAACAGUUGUAUGUUUUCACUUUUAAACCGACAGUAAGUAAGUCAGUCUUCCAUUGAACGAGUUAAACAUCUGGACAUUUGACUUGAUCUAUACCCGGUAAUCGGUGGCGUUCUCACGUGGUUUCCGUAGUGUAGUGGUUAUCACGUUCGCCUAACACGCGAAAGGUCCCCGGUUCGAGACCGGGCGGAAACAAGGUUUUGCUUUUCAUUAGAAGUAAGGUUUAGCAAUUGUAAUUUAAAAGAGGACAUUUACUCACUAUGUAUUUUUAUUAUUCAAAAAAACCCCGACUAGUUGGCACGUAUCUUAAUGGAGUCAAAAGUUACAUAUCUUACAUCUGUGUGUGGUUUGAUGGGUCGUGGAACACAGUGAUCAUCGUUAGCUUCCCUGUACAGGUAACUGUACCGAAUACUCCUUCGUCCCCGAACACACCAUUUGUAUAACUAUAGAGUGAACGCUCAAUAAAGUGUAUUGUUUUAGACUUAUUACAAACUACAUGGUGGUCGGUCAUCAGUUUCCGUAGUGUAGUGGUUAUCACGUUCGCCUCACACGCGAAAGGUCCCCGGUUCGAGACCGGGCGGAAACACACUUUUAAAUUCCGAACACAAAUUAAUGCGACUAUUUCUAAAUAGCUAAACCUUAUUUGUGGUCUCAUAUACAAGUUAUCUUAGUUUAUUUUAAAGCUCUUAUCUUGUCCGACAAUGUGUCCGACACAUUUGCUCUAGUAACAACUGAGUUGUUCAAAACUAUUACUCUCGUUUAAAAACGUUGACUUACAUGUAAAAUGAAUUACAUUUAAUUACAUAUAAUUUUAUUUACAUACAUGUUAUGUACCCGUCGACAUCUCUCUUUGUACCGCUAUGGAGAGAGAAACAUUGCUUGUGAAAGGGGAGUUUCCGACGUAUCCCUGAACGCGUCCUCGAGGGGGAGUUUCAGCGUGUUUCCGGUGUUCGAUAGAAGCGCCUCGUGGGAGGCUUCGGUUCCGCUAAACU